GUGGCUUGGACUGUGUCAAUUAUCAUCUCAAAAAUUAUAAAUAUGUAAUAACAUUAAUCUCACUUGUUAUUACAUCACACGUAUUUAAAGGACAUGGGAGAGCGGGGUGAGGUUAUCAAAGCAAUUUAUUUUCCUAUAGGGUCAGGGCAGGAGGACUUCGUCAACCUCAAUUUUUGUUGGAAAUAAUAGAAUCUAAAUUAAUACACAUUAAUUAAAAAAA